rnacentral:tRNA from 1 species
GGUGUAAUGGCAGCACGCUGCGCUCUGGACGCGGAAAUUGGAGUUCGACUCUCUGCUCCCCAGCCA